GAUGAACGCUAGCGAUAGGCUUAACACAUGCAAGUCGAGGGGCAGCACAAGGUAGCUUGCUCUCUGGGUGGCGACCGGCGCACGGGUGCGUAACGCGUAUGCAACUUGCCCUAUACAGGAGGAUAACCCGUCGAAAGACGGACUAAUACUGCGUAUGCUCACAACUUGGCAUCAAGUGGUGAGGAAAGAAAUUCGGUAUAGGAUAGGCAUGCGUCCCAUUAGCUUGUUGGUGAGGUAACGGCUCACCAAGGCAACGAUGGGUAGGGGAACUGAGAGGUUUAUCCCCCACACUGGUACUGAGACACGGACCAGACUACUACGGGAGGCAGCAGUGAGGAAUAUUGGUCAAUGGGCGCGAGCCUGAGCCAGCCAAGUCGCGUGAAGGAUGACUGUCUUAUGGAUUGUAAACUUCUUUUAUACGGGAAUAACAAGAGUCACGUGUGACUCCCUGCAUGCACCGUAUGAAUAAGCAUCGGCUAACUCCGUG
rnacentral:rRNA from 1 species